UCUUCCCUCUGGCGGCGUGCCUAAUACAUGCAAGUCGAGCGAACAGAUGAGGAGCUUGCUCCUCUGACGUUAGCGGCGGACGGGUGAGUAACACGUGGAUAACCUACCUAUAAGACUGGGAUAACUUCGGGAAACCGGAGCUAAUACCGGAUAAUAUAUUGAACCGCAUGGUUCAAUAGUGAAAGACGGUUUUGCUGUCACUUAUAGAUGGAUCCGCGCCGCAUUAGCUAGUUGGUAAGGUAACGGCUUACCAAGGCAACGAUGCGUAGCCGACCUGAGAGGGGGGUAGGCCAAAAUGGAAGGUGAGACGGGAGCAAGAGACUGAGGGAGGGCAGAGUAGGGGAAGCUGCGGAAAAGGGCGAAAGCUGGACGAAUCAACGCGAGGUGGGUGAGGAAGUGCUGGGGGUGGUAAAACGCUUUUAUGGGGGAAAAAAAAUUGUGAAGGUAACGAUGAAGGUCUGGAGGUAACCGAUAAAGAAGGCCGGGGUAACUAAGUG
rnacentral:rRNA from 1 species